rnacentral:rRNA from 2 species
CGAACGGAAGGCCCUUCGGGGUACUCGAGUGGCGAACGGGUGAGUAACACGUGGGUGAUCUGCCCUGCACUUCGGGAUAAGCCUGGGAAACUGGGUCUAAUACCGGAUAUGACCACAUGAUGCAUGUCGUGUGGUGGAAAGCUUUUGCGGUGUGGGAUGGGCCCGCGGCCUAUCAGCUUGUUGGUGGGGUCACGGCCUACCAAGGCGACGACGGGUAGCCGGCCUGAGAGGGUGACCGGCCACACUGGGACUGAGAUACGGCCCAGACUCCUACGGGAGGCAGCAGUGGGGAAUAUUGCACAAUGGGCGCAAGCCUGAUGCAGCGACGCCGCGUGAGGGACGACGGCCUUCGGGUUGUAAACCUCUUUCAGCACAGACGAAGCGCGAGUGACGGUAUGUGCAGAAGAAGGACCGGCCAACUACGUGCCAGCAGCCGCGGUAAUACGUAGGGUCCGAGCGUUGUCCGGAAUUACUGGGCGUAAAGAGCUCGUAGGUGGUUUGUCGCGUUGUUCGUGAAAACUCACAGCUCAACUGUGGGCGUGCGGGCGAUACGGGCAGACUAGAGUACUGCAGGGGAGACUGGAAUUCCUGGUGUAGCGGUGGAAUGCGCAGAUAUCAGGAGGAACACCGGUGGCGAAGGCGGGUCUCUGGGCAGUAACUGACGCUGAGGAGCGAAAGCGUGGGGAGCGAACAGGAUUAGAUACCCUGGUAGUCCACGCCGUAAACGGUGGGUACUAGGUGUGGGUUUCCUUCCUUGGGAUCCGUGCCGUAGCUAACGCAUUAAGUACCCCGCCUGGGGAGUACGGCCGCAAGGCUNAAACUCAAAGAAAUUGACGGGGGNCCGCACNAGCGGCGGAGCAUGUGGAUUAAUUCGAUGCAACGCGAAGAA